rnacentral:rRNA from 1 species
AGCAUGUGGCUUAUUCGACGCAACGCGAAGAACCUUACCAAGGCUUGACAUACACCGGAAAGCAUCAAAGAUGGCGCCCCCCUUGUGGUCGGUGUACAGGUGGUGCAUGGCUGUCGUCAGCUCGUGUCGUGAGAUGUUGGGUUAAGUCCCGCAACGAGCGCAACCCUUGUUCUGUGUUGCCAGCAUGCCCUUCGGGGUGAUGGGGACUCACAGGAGACUGCCGGGGUCA